CAGCCGCCGCGGUAAUACGAAGGUCCCGAGCGUUGUUCGGAAUCACUGGGCGUAAAGGGAGCGUAGGCGGCGUGGUAAGUCAGAUGUGAAAUCCCGGGGCUCAACCCCGGAACUGCAUCCGAUACUGCCGUGCUAGAGGAUUGGAGAGGUAGCUGGAAUUCCUGGUGUAGCGGUGAAAUGCGUAGAGAUCGGGAGGAACAUCAGUGGCGAAGGCGGCCAUCUGGGACAACACUGACGCUGAGGCACGAAAGCGUGGGGAGCAAACAGGAUUAGAUACCCCAGUAGUCCCUGUCUCUUAUAA
rnacentral:rRNA from 1 species